rnacentral:lncRNA from 1 species
CCCGCCCCGCAGCGCGGCGGAAGAUGGCGAGCCCCGCGCCCCCGGAGCCCGCCGAGGGAGGAUGCCCGGCCCGCGCGGCCGGCGAGCUGGAGCCGCGGCCCCCGCCGCCCGGGGCGGCCCCCGAGCAUGAGCUCGGCGGCGGUCGGCGAGCGGCGCGGGGCGGCGGCGGAGGAGCUGCGGGCCGGGCGGGCGCGCGUGACCUGCUGCUCGGCGAGCCGUGCUGUGCUCGGCUGACGCGCCGACGAGCUCCUGAGCUGGCAGAGGCCGCUGCGCAGCCUGCUCGGCUUCGUCGGCGCCAACCUCCUGUUCUGGUUCCUUGCAUUGACUCCAUGGAGAGUAUAUCACCUGAUUUCGGUCAUUAUGCUUGGGCGUGUUAUUAUGCAAAUAAUAAAGGAUAUGAUUUUGUCUAGAGCAAGAGGUAAGGAAACUCAGGUUUUCUUUUUCUGGUAAAUAUUUAAUAUUCUAAAUCUUGAAUGUCUGAUC